rnacentral:rRNA from 1 species
GACGAACGCUGGCGGCGUGCUUAACACAUGCAAGUCGAACGAAGUGGCGAACGGGUGAGUAACGCGUAAUCAACCUGCCCUUCAGAGGGGGACAACAGUUGGAAACGACUGAUAAUACCGCAUACUGAAGGAGGGGAUUGCGUCUGAUUAGCUAGUUGGAGGGGUAACGGCCCACCAAGGCGAUGAUCAGUAGCCGGGCUGGGAGGAUGAACGGCCACAUUGGGACUUGGACACGGCCCAGAAUCCUACGGGAGGCAGCAAGUGGGAAUCUUCGGCAAAUGACGAAAGGCUGACUGAGCAACGCCGCGUGAGUGAUGACGGCCUUCGGGUUGUAAAGCUCUGUUAAGCGGGACGCGGUACCGGAAUAGAAAGCCACGGCUAACUACGUGCCAGCAGCCGCGGUAAUAC